rnacentral:rRNA from 1 species
UACGUAGGGUGCGAGCGUUGUCCGGAAUUAUUGGGCGUAAAGGGCUCGUAGGCGGUUUGUCGCGUCGGGAGUGAAAACACCGGGCUUAACUCGGUGCUGGCUUUCGAUACGGGCAGACUAGAGGUAUGCAGGGGAGAACGGAAUUCCUGGUGUAGCGGUGAAAUGCGCAGAUAUCUGGAGGAAUACCGGUGGCGAAGGCGGCAUCCUGGACCGACGAUUGACGCUGAGGAGCGAAAGCUAGGGGAGCAAAGCGGGG